GCAGCCCGCCGGCGGCCAACUAAACUCUUGUUUCUAUAGUGAAUCUCUGAGUAAAAAACAUAAAUGAAUCAAAACUUUCAACAACGGAUCUCUUGGUUCUGGCAUCGAUGAAGAACGCAGCGAAAUGCGAUAAGUAAUGUGAAUUGCAGAAUUCAGUGAAUCAUCGAAUCUUUGAACGCACAUUGCGCCCUCUGGUAUUCCGGAGGGCAUGCCUGUUCGAGCGUCAUUUCAACMCUCAAGCCUGGCUUGGUGAUGGGGCACUGCCUGUGAAAGGGCAGGCCCUGAAAUCUAGUGGCGAGCUCGCCAGGACCCCGAGCGUAGUAGUUAUAUCUCGCUUUGKUAGGCCCUGGCGGUGCCCUGCCGUUAAACCCCCAACUUCUGAAAAUUUGACCUCGGAUCA
rnacentral:rRNA from 1 species